rnacentral:rRNA from 1 species
UACGAAGGUGGCAAGCGUUAUUCGGAUUUACUGGGCGUAAAGGGUGCGUAGGCGGCUUUGCGUGUCGGAUGUGAAAUCCCACGGAUCAUUCGUGGAACUGCAUUCGAAACUGCAAGGCUAGAGUACAGGAGAGGAGAGCGGAAUUCUUGGUGUAGCGGUGAAAUGCGUUGAUAUCAAGAGGAACGCCGGUGACGAAGGUGGCUCUCUGGACUGUUACUGACGCUGAGGCACGAAAGCUAGGGGAGCAAACAGG